GACGAACGCUGGCGGCGUGCUUAACACAUGCAAGUCGAACGGAAAGGCCCUGCUUGCAGGGUACUCGAGUGGCGAACGGGUGAGUAACACGUGGGUGAUCUGCCCUGCACUUCGGGAUAAGCCUGGGAAACUGGGUCUAAUACCGGAUAUGACCUUCCAUGUAGUGUGGGGGGUGGAAAGAUUUAUCGGUGUGGGAUGAGCUCGCGGCCUAUCAGCUUGUUGGUGGGGUAAUGGCCUACCAAGGCGUCGACGGGUAGCCGGCCUGAGAGGGUGGACGGCCACAUUAGGACUGAGAUACGGCCCAGACUCCUACGGGAGGCAGCGGUGGGGAAUAUUGCACAAUGGGCGGGAGCCUUAUGCAGCGACGCCGCGUGGGGGAUGACGGCCUUCGGGUUGUAAACCUCUUUCGACAGGGACGAAGCUUCGGUGACGGUACCUGUAGAAGAAGCACCGGCUAACUACGUG
rnacentral:rRNA from 1 species